ensembl:lncRNA
GCCAGGGACACUCAGCUCAGAGAAGCAGGCCCUCAGCUAAGGCAGGCCAGGGAGCGGCUUGCCAGGCCGCACAGACCCUGCCGCCACUCCUCAACCUGGCACAGGGCUCAGAGGACCACAGUGGGCCAGAAGCAAGCAGCCAGGUGUGGGGAAGGAUGUGGAACAAACUCUAAAGUCCACAUAGGAAGAUCAAAACCUCCUUCCAGACACCGAGUAAGGAGAACUCAUGCUGGAAAGAAACCAGACUCCAGAGAGACACAGAAGAAGGAGAAAGGACCAGGGAUUUGGGAAACGCACAAGGCUUCUCCCCCAGAGCUCAGCAAGCAGACUGGGAAGGCAGUCUAAGGCACACACUGAGCGCUCGAUAAAUGGUGGGACAUUCAUAUCGUGGCUUGCCAUCCCCUGUGCAUCAUCACUCACCAACACUGGGAGGAAUCCGUUCCAGUUCCAGGAGAAAGCAAGACCCAGAGCCGUAGAAUGAUUUGCCUCAAGUCCUAGAAUUUCACGGACUGCGUCUUCCCAGCUGCCUCACCCGCAGGCAGACUUGACCUUUGCAGGUUCAGUGAAAUGACUGCCCUGCAUCACGCCCUAAGACCAUGGAGAAAAAUGUGGCCUUGGCGUCAUCCAUCUGCUCUGCAGCCAAGUGGUAAACAGGCGAGCCUCUCAGAGAACAGCCUGGAGCGGAGCCCAAGCUCGCCAGUUCUCCCGCGGGGCCAGGAGGCUGCCGGCACCGGGACUCCCUUCCGGGGUGCCCCCAACUGGAGGACUCCCAGCUAUCGCCCCACGGGGAGGGACCCUUGGUGGAGUCACACACACCCUGAGAAGCGAAAGUUAGGAUGGACCUUGAGCCACCCUCAUGANCCCCCCCCCCCCAUGGAUCUGUUCCUGAAGCCCUGCUUUUGCCUGUGCUGUCCCCUGCCUGGGGCAGUUCUCUCGGCCUCCACCUCUGGAUCCUGCCUAGAGCCAGUCACCUCCUCCAAGGAGCCUUCCCAGAUCCCCCCAGCUUUAUUUCCCACUGCUCUGAGUAUGUAUCUUACAAGUCAUUUGGCUUUAAAGAGCAGAAUCAUUUUUAUCGUGCUUCUGCUUCCCGGAGUCAAAUCAUUUCCGAACCUCGUUCCUCUCGCCGUCCCCUGUAGUGAGUUAUCUGCAUUCCAGGGCCGUUGAGGACUGGGCUACAACAUGCGUAAAACCAUAGUUCACCAUUUCCCUCCCUCUUGUCAGGCUGUCAGAUGCUCUUGUCAAGAAUCUCAUGCUUCAGGGAAAGGCAAGUAGACACCUUGCGUGGAGUCGGAUGCUUCCCUCUCGGGCCCUCCCCACCCCCAUCACUUCUUCCUGUGCAACCUUCCUGGAAGGCUUGUCAGCAAUCCCACAUCUGUUCUCCCGUAAGCAUCAAAGUGCUUUCAUGCCCACCCUCCUAUCUUCCAGCCUUGUUUGCUAUAAAGGGUUACUAUUCUAUUUCCCAUUUCACAGACAACAAAACUGAGGCCGACACACAGUCUUGCCUAGAGUGGCCCGAAGCCAAAGCAGGGAGUAGGGCCGGAUAUGUGUGGACCCUCAGAAGCAAUCCCUUUCCACAUUUUCAAAGUCCCCAGCACCAGCAGGGGGUCCGCCCCUCCCUACUUUGUCACUGCCAGGGGUCAGGGACCAUGUCAAUGCUCUUUCUCUGUCCUCUCACCUCCUGGUUCUCACUGGGACCACCACAACACCCUCCUAC